AAAUAAACCUCUGGAGAGCCAGUUGCCCAGCUCUUCCAGAAGAGAGACUAGACACGCAGCUGGGCAUGCGGCCAGAGCCCAAGAAAAGCCUGGUUUGCCAGGGGCAGAUUACAGUCAACAGGAGCAGCCGAUCCUAACCCAGAUCAAAGAUCCUGGGACAGCUGGAACAGGCAUGGCCUAAUGGAACUCCCAAGUGGACAGGGCCAGGCAUGGAAGGACAGAGCUUCUGAAACAGUCCUCAGACCCCGUGCAUCUGGAUCUUUCUGUAGGAGCCACCCAUCAGCGGUGCCAGACAGAACCAAGCACAUGCACUGACCCACCGCAUGAUGGGAGCUGGUGUGGGUGGGCUUGUUUGCUUUAGCCAUGCCCACAGACAGGAACAGAAGAGCACGGUGGAGGCCACCAGCCCUCUCGCCUGCUAUUUCAAAAGGGGUUGCAGAAGGGCUGGAAAGCGGUUCCCACUGUGGUUGCCCCCUUCCUCUCUGUAGCACACACAGACCUGAAAAUAACCAGAGAAGGACUGCGAGCUGCCAGCCUAAAACAGGAAGGCUGCAGAAAGUCCUAGGCUCAGAUAGGAGAGUUUAAAAGAAUGUUGAAACCAAGAACGGGCAUCACAGAUCCCACCUGUCUCUGCACCAAAGCAGACCUCCCCCUCUCUAAUCUACUGGUGGGAAGCCUGUGUGCUCUGUAGUCAUGCACAUCCCAGCUUUACCACUUGCUGGCUGUGUGACUUAAGCAAGUUAUUUAACCUCUCUGAGCCCCUAUUUCCUGAUUUGUAAGAUAAGAGCAGCAAUAAACAAAUUUUUAGUGUUGUGGUUCACAUGAAAAAAUUUAAUCCUGGCCAGGCCGGAUGCGGUGCCUCACACCUGUAAUCCCAGCACUUUGGGAGGCCAAGGUGGGCAGAUCACGAGGUCAGGAGUUCGAGACCAGCCUGACCAACAUGAUAAAACCACAUCUCUACUAAAAAUACAAAAAUUAGCCGGGCAUGGUGGUGCGUGCCGGUAGUCCCAGCUACUCAGGAGGCUGAGGCAGGAGAAUCACUUGAACCCAGGAGGCGGAGGUUGCAGUGAGCCGAGAUGGCACCACUGCACUCCAGCCUGGGCAAGAAGAACGAAACUCCAUCUCAAGAAAAAGAAAAAAAGAAAGAGAAGAAAGCAUACCUGCACAAUUCAGCCUGACCUGCCCUCACCCAGACAACAGAAGGAACAAUGAAGACUUUAGUUGUCUGAGCCAGAACACUUCUCAGAUAACUGUGCUGCUUACAAAUUGCUUCACAUACACAAUCUCCUCUGAAAUUCUCAAUCCUGAAUGCUGGGAGGCAUUGCCCCCAAUUUUCAGAUGAGUAGACUGAGGCUAAGAGAGGUAAAGUGGCUUGUUCAAAACUGCACUACUAGUAACUGGCAGCUCUAGGGUGAGGUCUGGCUCCUGGCCCAGGACUCUCACUGAGCAAGGGCUCGGUGGGCACCCAGGACCAAAGACACUACAGACCAUGGCAGCAGGCACUUGGUGUUCUGUAGUCUGUGAGGGGAGAGCAGAGAGCAGAACCUGGUGUGUGGGACACCCUCUCCUUCACCGGUGUUCCUGCAGGGACCCUCCGUCUCCUGUAAAGGAGGAAGCCCUAGGCUGACUCCCAGCAAGCAAGUCCUCUCUCACCUUUCACCUGAAGCGAUGAAGCAUCUUAAAGUUUGUCAAAAGCACAAGUCUAUAGGAGACCCACAGAAUAAAUAUGUAAGGUUAUUUUGAA
rnacentral:antisense_RNA from 1 species